CCCAGUUUUAUUGAGGUCAGUAACAUUAAGGAAUGAAACCUGGGCAAGAAUUUCCAGCUUACGGGAAAGAACACAGCUGAAUUAAAACCAGAGAGGAACAGGGGCUGCUCCGUGAGAGGGAAGCAACUGAGGGAGCAGCCUCUGCGGAGGCCGACCGUGUGGUGACCGGAGCAUCCCGCACUCGCGUGCAGUGCUGGGGGCUCGCAUCUUCAGACAGAGGCCUGCGGCGGGGAGAAGCAGACACGGCCCGUGUUUCCUUGUGGGCUGCAGCUGCUUGCAGUCUCUCUGCGGAAGAAGUCCCCUGCCAGUAUAAGCUGUUGUUAUUUGCCUGCUGUCCUAUCUCUGCCCAUCUAAGUCUCACUGCCUGUGCAAUCCGACCCAGAGCUUAACUAAUCUGAGCCACUGAAACAAUUCGCCAUCUUACGAGAAAUGAAAUUAAAAAGUUUCCUCCUUGUCUCUUUCCCCGUUGGUCUUGAAAAUCAUUAUUUAAUCCUGGAAGCACUGUUGGCCCUUCUCGAUUUCGCUAUUGUUUCUGCCUCAAUAAAACAA